rnacentral:rRNA from 1 species
AGCGAACGCUGGCGGCAGGCUUAACACAUGCAAGUCGAACGGGCACUUCGGUGUCAGUGGCGGACGGGUGAGUAACACGUGGGAACGUACCUCUUGGUUCGGAACAACACAGGGAAACUUGUGCUAAUACCGGAUAGGCCCUUACGGGGCAAGAUUUAUCGCCGAGAGAUCGGCCCGCGUCUGAUUAGCUAGUUGGUGAGGUAAUGGCUCACCAAGGCGACGGUCAGUAGCUGGUCUGAGAGGAUGAUCAGCCACAUUGGGACUGAGAAACGGCCCAAACUCCUACGGGAGGCAGCAGUGGGGAAUCUUGCGCAAUGGGCGAAAGCCUGACGCAGCCAUGCCGCGUGGAUGAUGAAGGUCUUAGGAUUGUAAAAUCCUUUCACCGGUGAAGAUAAUGACUGUAGCCGGAGAAGAAGCCCGGCUAACUUCGUGCCAGCCGCCGCUGUAAAAC